AACUUUUGACAACGGAUCACUUGGUUCUGGCAUCGAUGAAGAACGCAGCGAAAUGCGAUAAGUAAUGCGAAUUGCAGAAUGCCAGUGAGUCAUCGAAUCUUUGAACGCACAUUGCGCCCUUUGGUAUUCCGAAGGGCAUGCCUGUUCGAGCGUCAAUAUCACCCCUCAAGCCCCCUGGGUUUGGUGUUGGACGGCCUGGUCAGGCGACUGACCCCUCCUAAAGACAAUGACGGCGGCCUCGUGGGACCCCCGGUACACUGAGCUUCUUAACUGAGCACGUAUCGGAUCCAGGGUCCUCGGGGACACGGUCUGAUAACCUAUUAUAUUUUCUCAAGGUUGACCUCGGAUCAGGUAGGGAUACCCGCUGAACUUAAGCAUAUCAAUAAGCGGAGGCU
rnacentral:misc_RNA from 1 species